AGAGACGCAUGCUCUACCAACUGAAGUUUCCGUGAUUUUCUUUUCAAAUGAGAUGUAUAAAGAGAUAAAAUCUUAAAGUAAUUCCUAAGGAAUUAUCCAUAUAUUUUCAGACUAAAUUGGCACAUUACUUUCAUAAAAGCUGGUUGAAAUAAGUGAAAAGACAAGCCUUCUUGAUGUGCUAAAGUCACACAGAGAGAGAGAGAGAGAGAGAGGCAGAGACACAGGCAGAGGGAGAAGCAGGC